CCGAGUCCGGCGGACGAAGUCGGCCGGCCCGACCCCCCAAGGCUAUAGCCCACCCGUUUUUGUGGCCUUUUUCCGCUGGACGAACUUAGCGCCCAGGCCUUCCGAAGGUUAUUUUUGGGCGCGGCUUUGUCCGCGGUCUAUUUUUGGCACACGGAGGCCCCUCGCAAAGUCUCGCGGCAUUCCGAGUCCGGCGGACGAAGUUGGCCAGCCCCACCCCCCAAGGCUAUAGCCCACCCGUUUUUGCGGCCUUUUUCCGCUGGACGAACUUGGCGCCCCGGCCUUCGGGCGGUUAUUUUUGGGCGCGGCUUUGCCCGCGGCCUAUUUUUGGCACACGGAGGCCCCUCGCAAAGUCUCGCGGCAUUCCGAGUCCGGCGGACGAAGUGGGCCAGCCCCACCCCCCAAGGCUAUAGCCCACCCGUUUUUGUGGCCUUUUUCCGCUGGACGAACUUGGCGCCCCGGCCUUCGGGCGGUUAUUUUUGGGCGCGGCUUUGCCCGCGGCCUAUUUUUGGCACACGGAGGCCCCUCGCAAAGUCUCGCGGCAUUCCGAGUCCGGCGGACCAAGUUGGCCAGCCCCACCCCCCAUGGCUAUAGCCCACCCGUUUUUUGUGGACUUUUUCCGCUGGACGAACUUGGCGCCCCGGCCUUCGGACGGUUGUUUUUGGGCGCGGCCUUGUCCGCGGCCUAUUUUUGGCACACGAAGUGCCCUCGCAAAGUCUCGCGGAAUUCCGAGUCCGGCGGACGAAGUUGCCCAGCCCCACCCCCCAAGGCUAUAGCCCACCCCUUUUUGUGGCCUUUUUCCGCUGCACGAACUUGGCGCCCCGGCCUUCGGGCGGUUAUUUUUGGGUACGGCUUUGCCCGCGGCCUAGUUUUGGCACACGGAGGCCCCUCACAAAGUCUCGCGGCAUUCCGAGUGCGGCGAACGAAGUUGGCCAGCCCCACCCCCCAAAGCUAUAGCCCACCCGUUUUUGUGGCCUUUUUCCGCUGGACGAACUUGGCGCCCCGGCCUUCGGGCGGUUGUUUUUGGGCGCGGCUUUGUCCGCAGCCUAUUUUUGGCAAACGGUGGCCCCUCGCAAAGUCUCGCGGCAUUCCGAGUCCGGCGGACGAAGUUGGCCAGCCCCACCCCCCAAGGCUAUAGCCCACCCGUUUUUGUGGCCUUUUUCCGCUGGACGAACUUGGAGCCCCGGCCUUGGGGCGGUUAUUUUUGGGCGCGGCUUUGUCCCCGGCCUUCUUUUGGCACACAGAGGCCCCUCGCAAAGUCUCGCGGCAUUCCGAGUCCGGCGGACGAAGUUGGCCAGCCCCAUCCCCGAAGGCUAUAGCCCACCCGUUUUUGUGGCCUUUUUCCCGCUGGAAGAACUUGGCGCCCCGCCCUUCGGGCGGUUAUUUAUGCGCGCGACUUUGACUACGGCNNNNNNNNNNNNNNNNNNNNNNNNNNNNNNNNNNNNNNNNNNNNNNNNNNNNNNNNNNNNNNNNNNNNNNNNNNNNNNNNNNNNNNNNNNNNNNNNNNNNACGGAGGCCCCUCGAAAGUCCCCCGGCAUUCCGAGUCCGGCGGACGAAGUUGGCCAGCCCCACCCCCUAAGGCUAUAGCCCACCCGUUUUUGUGGCCAUUUUCCCUUGGACGAACUUGGCGGCCUGGCCUUCGGGCGGUUAUUUUUUGGACGCGGCUUUGUCCCCGGCCUAUUUUUGGCACACGGGGGCCCCUCGCAAAGUCUCGCGGCAUUCUGAGUCCGGCGGACGAAGUUGGCCAGCCCCACCCCCCAAGGCUAUAGCCCACCCGAUUUUGUGGCCUUUUUCCGCUGGGCGAACUUGGCGCCCCGGCCUUUGGGCAGUUAUUUUUGUAUGCGACUUUGCCCGCGGCCUAUUUUUGGCACACGGAGGCCCCUCCCAAAGUCUCGCGGCAUUUCGAGUCCGGCGGACGAAGUUGGCCAGCCCGACCCCCCAAGGCAAUAGCCCACCCGUUUUUGUGGCCUUUUUCCGCUGGACGAACUUGGUGCCCCGGCCUUCGGGUGGUUAUUUUUGGGCGCGGCUUUGCCCGCGGCCAAAUUUUGGCACACGGAGGCCCCUCGCAAAGUCUCGCGGCAUUCCGAGUCCGGCGGACGAAGUGGGCCAGCCCCACCCCCCAAGGCUAUAGCCCACCCGUUUUUGUGGCCUUUUUCCGUCCGGCCUUCGGGCGGUUAUUUUUGGGCGCGGCUUUGCCCGCGGCCUAGUUUUGGCACACGGAGGCCCCUCGUAAAGUCUCGCGGCAUUCCGAGUCCGGCGUACGAAGUUGGCCAGCCCCACCCCCCAAGGCUAUAGCCCACCUGUUUUUGUGGCCUUUUUCCACUGGACGAACUUGGCGCCCCGGUCUUCGGGCUGUUAUUUUUGGGCGCGGCUUUGCCCGCGGCCUGUUUUUGACACACGGAGGCCCCUCGCAAAGUGUCGCGGCAUUCCCAGUCCGGCGGACGAAGUUGGCCAGCCCCACCCCCCAAGGCUAUAGCCCACCCGUUUUUGUGGCCUUUUGCCGCUGGACGAACUUGGCGCCCCGGCCUUCGGGCAGUUAUUUUUGGGCGCGGCUUUACCCACGAUGUAUUUUUGGCACGUGGAGGCCCCUCGCAAAAUCUCGCGGCAUUCCGAGUACGGCGGACGAAGUUGGCCAGCCCCACCCCCCAAGGCUAUAGCCCACCCGUUUUUGUGGCCUUUUUCCACUGGAAGAACUUGGCGCCCCGGCCUUUGGGCGGUUAUUUUUGGGACCGCCUUUGCCCGCGGUGUAUUUUUGGCACGCGGAGGCCCCUCGCAAAGUCUCGCGGUAUUCCGAGUCCGGCGGACGAAGUCGGCCAGCCCCACCCCCCAAGGCUAUAGCCCACCCGUUUUUGUUGCCUUUUUCCACUGGACGAACUUGGCGCCCCGGCUUUCGGGCGGUUAUUUUUGUCCGCGGCCUAUUUUUGGCACACGGAGGCCCCCCGCAAAGUCACCCGGCAUUCCGAGUCCGGCGGACGAAGUCGGCCAGCCUCACCACCCAGGCUGUAGCCCACCCGUUUUUGUGGCCUUUUUCCGCUGGACGAACUUGGCGCCCCGGCCUUCGGGUGGUUAUUUUUGGGUGCAGCCUAGUGCGUGGCCUAUUUUUGGCACACGGAGGCCCCUCGCAAAGUCUCGCGGCAUUCCGAGUCCGGCGGACGAAGUGGGCCAGCCCCACCCCCCAAGGCUAUAGCCCACCCGUUUUUGUGGCUUUUUUCUGCUCGACGAACUUGGCGCCCCGGCCUUCGGGCGGUUAUUUUUGGCCGCGGCUUUGUCUGCGGCCUAUUUUUGGCACACGCAGGCCCCUCGCAAAGUCUCGCGGCAUUCCGAGUCCGGCGGACGAAGUUGGCCAGCCCCACCCCCCAAGGCUAUAGCCCACCCGUUUUUGUGGCCUUUUUCCACUGGAAGAACUUGGCGCCCCGGCCUUUGGGCGGUUAUUUUUGGGACCGUCUUUGCCCGCGGCGUAUUUUUGGCACGCCGAGGCCCCUCGCAAAGUCUCGCGGUAUUCCGAGUCCGGCGGACGAAGUCGGCCAGCCCCACCCCCCAAGGCUAUAGCCCACCCGUUUUUGUUGCCUUUUUCCAGUGGACGAACUUGGCGCCCCGGCCUUCGGGCGGUUAUUUUUGUCCGCGGCCUAUUUUUGGCACACGGAGGCCCCCCGCAAAGUCUCGCGGCAUUCCGAGUCCGGCGGACGAAGUUGGCCAGCCCCACCCCCCAAGGCUAUAGCCCACCUGUUUUUGUGGCCUUUUUCCACUGGACGAACUUGGCGCCCCGCCCUUCGGUCGGUUAUUUUUGGGCGCGGCUUUGUCCAGGGCCUAUUUUUGGCACACGGAGGCCCCUCGCAAAGUCUCGCGGCAUUCCGAGUCCGGCGGACGAAGUUGGCCAGCCCCACCCCCCAAGGCGAUAGCCCACCCGUUUUUGUGGCCUUUUUCCGCUGGACAAACUUGGGGCCCCGGCCUUCGGGGGGUUAUUUUUGGGCGCGGCUUUGCCCGCGGCCUAAUUUUGGCACACGGAGGCCCCUCGCAAAGUCUCGCGGCAUUCCGAGUCCGGCGGACAAAGUGGGCCAGCCCCACCCCCCAAGGCUAUAGCCCACCCGUUUUUGUGGCCUUUUUCCGCCCGGCCUUCGGGCGGUUAUUUUUGGGCGCGGCUUUGUCCGCGGCCUAGUUUUGCCACACGGAGGCCCCUCGCAAAGUCUCGCGGCAUUCCGAGUCCGGCGGACGAAGUUGGCCAGCCCCACCCCCCAAGGCUAUAGCCCACCCGUUUUUGUGGCCUUUUUCGGCUGGACAAACUUGGCGGCCCGGCCUUCGGGUGGUUACUCUUGGGUGCGGCUUUGUCCCCGGCCUGUUUUUGGCACAUGGAGGCCCCUCCAAAAGUCUCCCGGCAUUCCGAGUCCGGCGGACGAAGUAGGCCAGCCCCACCCCCCAAGGCUAUAGCCCACCCGUUUUUGUGGCCUUUUUCCGCUGGACGAACUUGGCGCCCCGGCCUUCGGGCGGUAAUUUUUGGGCGAGGCUUUGCCCGCGGCCUAUUUUUUGCACAUGGAGGCCCCUCGCAAAGUGUCGCGGCAUUCCGAGUCCGGCGGACGAAAUUGGCCAGCCCCACCGCCCAAGGCUAUAGCCCACCCGAUUUUGUGGCCUUUUUCCGCUGGGCGAACUUGGCGCCCCGGCCUUCGGGCGGUUAUUUUUGGACGCGGCUUUGCCCGUGGCCUAUUUUUGGCACACGGAGGCCCCUCGCAAAGUGUCGCGGCAUUCCGAGUCCGGCGGACGAAGUUGGCCAGCCCCACCCCCCAAGGCUAUAGCCCACCCGUUUUUGUGGCCUUUUUCCGCCCGGCCUUCGGGCGGUUAUUUUUGGGCGCGGCUUUGUCCGCGGCCUAUUUUUGGCACACGGAGGCCCCUCGCAAAGUCUCGCGGCAUUCCGAGUCCGGCGGACGAAGUUGGCCAGCCCCACCCCCCAAGGCUAUAGCCCACCCGUUUUUGUGGCCUUUUUCCGCUGGACGAACUUGGCGCCCCGGCCUUCGGGCGGUAAUUUUUGGGCGAGGCUUUGCCCGCGGCCUAUUUCUCGCACACGGGGGCCCCUCGCAAAGAGUCGCGGCAUUCCGAGUCCGGCGGACGAAGUUGGCCAGCCCCACCCCCCAAGGCUAUAGCCCACCCGAUUUUGUGGCCUUUUUCCGCUGGGCGAACUUGGCGCCCCGGCCUUCGGGCGGUUAUUUUUGGGCACAGCUUUGCCCGCGGCCUAUUUUUGGUACACGGAGGCCCCUCGCAAAGUGUCGCGGCAUUCCGAGUCCGGCGGACGAAGUUGGCCGGCCCCACCCUCCAAGGUUAUAGCCCACCUGAUUUUGUGGCCUUUUUCCGUUGGGCGAACUUGGCGCCCCGGCCUUCGGGCGGUUAAUUUUGGGCGCGGCUUUGUCCAAGGCCUAUUUUUGGCACACGGUGGCCCCUCGCAAAGUGUUGCGGCAUUCCGAGUCCGGCGCACGAAGUUGGGCAGCCCCACCCCCCAAGGCUAUAGCCCACCUGUUUUUGUGGCAUUUUUCCGCCCGGCCUUCGGGCGGUUAUUUUUGGACGCGGCUUUGCCCGCGGCCUAUUUUUGGCACACGGAGGCCCCUCGCAAAGUCUCGCGGCAUUCCGAGCCCGGCGGACGAAGUUGGCCAGCCCCACCCCCCAAGGCUAUAGCCCACCCGUUUUUGUGGCUUUUUUCCGCUGGACGAACUUGGCGCCCCGGCCUUCGGGCGGUUAUUUUAGGGCGCGGCUUUGUCCUUGGCCUAUUUUUGGCACACGGAGGCCCCCCGCAAAGUCUCCCGGCAUUCCGAGUCCGGCGGACGAAGUGGGCCAGCCUCACCACCCAGGCUGUAGCCCACCCGUUUUUGUGGCCUUUUUCCGCUGGACGAACUUGGCGCCCCGGCCUUCGGGCGGUUAUUUUUGGGUGCAGUCUAGUGCGCGGCCUAUUUUUGGCACACGGAGGCCCCUCGAAAAGUCUCGCGGUAUUCCGAGUCCGGCGGACGAAGUUGACCAGCCUCACCACCCAGGCUAUAGCCCACCCGUUUUUGUGACGUGGUUCCGCUGGACGAACUUGGCGCCCCGGCCUUCGCGCAGUUAUUUUUGGGCGUAGCUUUAUGCGCGGCCUAUUUUUGGCACACGGUGUCCCCUCGCAAAGUCUCGCGGCAUUCCGAGUCCGGCGGACGAAGUCAGCCAGCCCCACCCCCCAAGGCUAUAGCCCACCCGUUUUUGUGGCCUUUUUCCGCUGGACGAACUUGGCGCCCCGGCGUUCGGGCGGUUAUUUUUGGGCGGGGCUUUGCCCGUGGCCUAUUUUUGGCACACGGAGGCCCCUCGCAAAGGCUCGCAGCAUUCCGAGUCCGGCGGACGAAGUUGGCCAGCCCCACCCCCCAAGGCUAUAGCCCACCCGUUUUUGUGGCCUUUUUCCGCUGGACGAACUUGGCGCACCGUCCUUCGGGCGGUUAUUUUUGGGCGCGGUUUUGUCCGCGGCCUAUUUUUGGCACACGGAGGCCCCUCGCAAAGCCUCGCGGUAUUCCGAGUCCGGCGGACGAAGUGGGCCAGCCCCAUCCCCCAAGGCUAUAGCCCACCUGUUUUUGUGGCCUUUUUCCGCUGGACGAACCUGGCGCCCCGGCCUUCGGGCGGUUAUUUUUGGGCGGGGCUUUGCCCGUGGCCUAUUUUUGGCACACGGAGGCCCCUCGCAAAGGCUCGCAGCAUUCCGAGUCCGGCGGACGAAGUCGGCCAGCCCCACCCCCCAAGGCUAUAGCCCACCCGUGUUUGUGGCCUUUUUCCGCUGGACGAACUUGGCGCACCGUCCUUCGGGCGGUUAUUUUUGGGCGCGGUUUUGUCUGCGGCCUAUUUUUGGCACACGGAGGCCCCUCACAAAGUCUCGCGGCAUUCCGAGUCCGGCGGACGAAGUUGGCCAGCCCCACCCCCAGGCCUAUAGCCCACCCGUUUUUGUGGCCUUUUUGCGCUGGACGAACUUGGCGCCCCGGCCUUCGGGCGGUUAUUUUUGGGCGCGUCUUUGCCCGUGGCCUAUUUUUGGAACACGGAGGCCCCUCGCAAAGUCUCGCGGCAUUCCGAGUCCGGCGGACGAAGUCGGCCGGCCCCACCCCCCAAGGCUAUAGCCCACCCGUUUUUGUGGCCUUUUUCCGCUGGACGAACUUGGCGCCCCGGCCUUUGGGCGGUUUUUUUCUGGCGCGGUUUUGCCCGCGGCCUAUUUUUGGCACUUGGAGGCCCCUCGUAAAGUCUCGCGGCAUUCCGAGUCCGGCGGAAGAAGUUGGCCAGCCCCACCCUCCAAGGCUAUAGCCCACCCGUUUUUGUGGCCUUCUUCCGCUGGACGAACUUAGGGCCCCGGCCUUCGGGCGGUUAUUUUUGGGCGCGGCUUUGCCCGCGGCCUAUUUUUGGCAUACGGAGGCCCCUCGUAAAGGCUCGCGGCAUUCCGAGUCCGGCGGAUGAAGUGGGCCAGCCCCAUCCCCCAAGGCUAUAGCCCACCCGUUUUUGUGGCCUUUUUCCGCUGGACGAACUUGGCGCCCCGGCCUUCGGGUGGUUAUUUUUGGGUGCAGCCUAGUGCGUGGCCUAUUUUUGGCACACGGACGCCCCUCGCAAAGUCUCGCGGCAUUCCGAGUCCGGCGGACGAAGUGGGCCAGCCCCACCCCCAAAUGCUAAUAGCCCACCCGAUUUUGUGGCUUUUUUCCGCUGGA
rnacentral:lncRNA from 1 species